UAGCGCCUACGGGAGGCAGCAGUGGGGAAUAUUGCACAAUGGGGGAAACCCUGAUGCAGCGACGCCGCGUGAGUGAUGAAGUAUUUCGGUAUGUAAAGCUCUAUCAGCAGGGAAGAUAAUGACGGUACCUGACUAAGAAGCUCCGGCUAAAUACGUGCCAGCAGCCGCGGUAAUACGUAUGGAGCAAUCGUUAUCCGGAUUUACUGGGUGUAAAGGGAGCGCAGACGGCAGGGCCAGUCUGAUGUGAAAGUCCGGGGCUCAACCCCGGGACUGCAUUGGAAACUGUCCGGCUAGAGUGCAGGAUG
rnacentral:rRNA from 1 species